rnacentral:rRNA from 1 species
GAUGAACGCUGGCGGCGUGCCUAAUACAUGCAAGUCGAGCGAACGGAGGAGUAGCUUGCUUCUCUGAUGUUAGCGGCGUACGUGUUAGUAACACGUGGACAACCUACCUAUAAGACUGGGAUAACUUCGUGAACCCGUAGCUAAUACCGGAUAAGAUUUUGAACCGCAUGGCUCAAAAGUGAAAUACGGCCUUGCUGUCACUUAUAGAUGGAUCCACGCUGCAUUAGCUAGUUGGUAAGGUAACGGCUUACCAAGGCAACGAUGCAUAGCCGACCUGAGAGGGUGACCGGCCACACUGGAACUGAGACACGGUCCAGACUCCUACGGGAGGCAGCAGUAGGGAAUCUUCCGCAAUGGGCGAAAGCCUGACGGAGCAACGCCGCGUGAGGGAUGAAGGUCUUCGGAUCGUAAAACUCUGUUAUUAGGGAAGAACAGAUGUGUAAGUAACUGUGCACAUCAUGACGGUACCUAAUCAGAAAGCAACGGCUAACUACGUG